rnacentral:rRNA from 1 species
UUGACCUCAAAUCAGGUAGGACUACCCGCUGAACUUAAGCAUAUCAAUAAGCGGAGGAAAAGAAACUAACAAGGAUUCCCCUAGUAACUGCGAGUGAAGCGGGAAAAGCUCAAAUUUAAAAUCUGUUGGCAUUGGCCAUCCGAGUUGUAAUCUAGAGAAGUGUUACCCGUGCUGGACCGUGUACAAGUCUCCUGGAAUGGAGCAUCACAGAGGGUGAGAAUCCCGUCUUUGACAUGGACUACCAGUACUUUUGUGGUAUGCUCUCAAAGAGUCGAGUUGUUUGGGAAUGCAGCUCAAAAUGGGUGGUAAAUGCCAUCUAAAGCUAAAUAUUGGCGAGAGACCGAUAGCGAACAAGUACCGUGAGGGAAAGAUGAAAAGAACUUUGGAAAGAGAGUUAAACAGUACGUGAAAUUGCUGAAAGGGAAACGCUUGAAGUCAGUCGCGUUGACUUGGAAUCAACCCUGUUUUUGCUGGGUGUACUUAUCUUGUCAAYGGGUCAGCAUCAAUUUUGAUCGUUGGAUAAAGUUGUUGGGAAUGUGGCAUCUUUUGGAUGUGUUAUAGCCCAAUGAUGCAUGCAGCGGUUGGGAUUGAGGAACUCAGCACGCCACAAGGCCAGGUUUCGACCAUGUCCGUGCUUAGGAUGCUGGCAUAAUGGCUUUAAUCGACCCGUC